AUAAAUUCAUUGGAAAUCUUACUUUGGCUUUUUAUUUUACUCAAGACGAGCACUGCAGACAGACGUUGCUCUUGGCAAGAGUUUUAAGUUAGACGUAAUGUGUCUGGCGUUGGUGCCAAUUGUUGAGAGAAUUAAAAUAGCCGCAACAUUACAGCAAUGGACAAUGCAAAAUUUACGAUUAAACAAAAUGGGUUAAACUUUAUAAAGUGCAACACUACAGCAAUAUCACUGUGGAUUUUAAUAUCGGCUCUGGCACGCCAUCAUGCGUUUUCAAAUAUUGAAAUUGGAAUGAACGAUAAUUGUAACUCGCCAGGGGGCACAAGGUGUAUGCAAUAUGAUACG